rnacentral:lncRNA from 1 species
AGUGCAUGCAGUACCCACAGCAUACUGCAGCAGCAGUAUGGAUCUGGUGCUCACCAAAGCAGAGGAAAUCAUUAAAGGCGAUAAGACUGGAGGCAGCCUCGGUUGCAGCGACUGUGCCUUGGUUGAGUUUGGGAUCUUGAGGAAUGUAGGCCUGGCAAAGAGUAGGGUCAGGACCCUGAACUUUCAGGGAGCAAACUUCAGGCUGUUUAAGGAAUUGAUGGAUGACAUCUCCUGGGAAGCUGUCCUUAGAGACAAAGGAGUGGAAGAAAGCUGGCUACUCUUCAAGGAUACCCUUCCGGGAGCACAAGAGCUCCCCCAUCCCUCAGAAUAAGAAAGCAGGCAGGAGAGAUAGGAAACCAACAUGGCUUGGCAAGUCAGACUGAUGGAAAAGAAGAGAUUGUACCAGCUGUGGAAACAAAGGCAUGUCACCUGGGGAGAAUACAGGGAUGCAGUCUGGACUUGAAGAGAGAGGAUUAGGAAAGCCAAGGCACAUAUGGAACUAUAUUUGAUGAGGGAUGUGAAAAACAACAAGAAAGCAUUCUAUAGGUACAUUGGUCAGAAGAGGCAGGCCAGGAGAGCAUACCUUCUUUGGUAAAUGAAAAAGAAGAACUGACUAUGACAGAUAUGGAGAAGGCUGAGGUACUAAAUGAGUUUUUUGUGUUGGUCUGCACUGGCAGCCAGGAUUCUUGUAUUUCUCAUGUCCCUGAAGCUCACAUCCCUGGGCAUCUAGGUGGGAACUGGGGGCAUAAAUCCACCCCUGCUGUAAAGGCAGAGCAAGUCCGAGACUGCCUCAUGAGACUGAAUGUAUACAUGUCUAUGGGGCCAGAUGACACCCAUCCCAGGGCCCUAAAGGAGCUGGCUGACAUGGCUGCCGAGCUGCUCUGCAUCAUAUUUGAAAAGUCAUGGCUACUGGGCGAAGUCUCUGGGAACUGGAAAAAAGGAAAUGUCACUCCCAUUUACAAGAGUGGGAGGAAGGAGGACCCAGGGAACUGCAGGCCGGUGAGCCUCAGCUCUGUGCCUGGGAAGAUCAUGGAACAGAUCCUCCUAGAAGACAUGUUAAGGUACAUGAGGGAUGAGCAAGUGAUCUGAGACAGCUAACAUGGCUUUACCAAGCGAAGGUCAUGUCUAACCAAUCUGGUGGCCUUCUAUGAUGGAAUGAUGACACUGAUGGACAAAAAGGAAGCCACUGAUGUCAUCUACAUGGACUUGUGCAAGCCCUUUGACAUGGUCCCCCCACUGCAUUCUUAUGUCUAAAUUGGAGAGUUAUGAUUGUCCAGAAUAUUGAGGAUCCAGAUAUGCAGCAUCAAUAAGAAAAUCAGUUAAUGCAUCUAUUCCUUAAAUAUAUUAAACUGCAUGGUAACU